GAAGCUCUAGUAACCUCAGAUUUCAAACUCAAACACUAUUAUAAUAUCCAAAUAUUAUAGAUUCUAUAUUAUAGACAUACAUAUUAGGAAGCAUCUUCUUUAAUAUCGAAUAUAACGAAAAACAAACGCAAACUCUUUGAAUUUUUUAUUCAUUUUUAAGAGCACAAUUUUUAAAAUGAAUCGCCAAAGAAAAUCGAAAGGCUUGCAGCGUAAGAGUGAUGUCACCGUGAGGCUCGUGAUUAUCAGCCAUGAUCGCCUCUAUCCGGGCAUUAUCCUGGGGGCGGAGAGCCGCCUCCAUGCCCUGACUUCCAUGCAUCCGUUGCGCUUCCUGGAUUUCUGACGCAGCCAAGGCCAUAUUCAUUGAUUUCUGUUUUAUAUCUGUGUCCAAAUUGUCAUGCUCUAUAUAGUGGAAUAUUAUUAUAUUGCUGGA
rnacentral:sRNA from 1 species